UGUGAAUGCAUUACGCAACUGAAGACAAACCUAAAAUUCUAGAUCUACCAAAUUUCUAUUCUGCAAAUCACAUAAUUUUUUCUUAUUACAUUAUUUUAAUCCCUACAUUAGAGCUUCAUGGCACCAUACGAAUGGUAGACCAGAGGGGGGCUGUCAAGGCAGGCACUUGCAUGAUGAGAGGAAUCGAAGAGAGAUGAAGAAUAAUGACCACUUAAAGGCGUACUCUGAGAGGGUUGCAAAUGAUCGGUUGGGAAGACAUGACUGGACCAUAAGGACAAAUUGUAAUUCUGUGCCUGGACGGAUGCCAGCCUCCAUUACCCUAGAGGCUGUGAGAAGUUGACCUUUGAACCCUUGGAUUCCCAGUUGGUUGCCCGUGACUGCUGCUGAUGGAGUGAACUACGGGACCGUGGGCGGGGAGAUUAAGGAGCAGAUUUGUGUGUUAAACUCGUCUCAGGCUUAAGGGUUAUGCACACAUCUCCGGAGCGAUGCCGCCUGGGUCGCAAAGGCUCCGCAGCCAGUUGGUCCCAACCAGCGCCUGCACGGCACCCCGCUCCAACAUCUUGAGGUUACUGUAUCGUAGUAUUCUAUUAGUCUGUGGAGGCGAGGCUGGUGGAGGCCUUGCCAGUGUGUCUCCUCGACACACUUUGCGUGCUACUAAUUAAAAGUUUCAGCUUCUGUCGCCAGGGAAUCUGUCCCCUGCUGUGAAGCACACAAUAGGCAUGUCGCCCCAGACUAGAGGAAUGUUGCCACUCCACUUGAAGACCUGCAGCUGGCAUUUCCUAGCUGUUAAAAAGUUCAUGGAGUUUUUGAGUGUUAAUACUUUACCCCUGAGGUACAUCGAGAGCUAAGACCCUUUAGAACUGGAAAGGCUAGUUGUUGUGAAUCAUUUUAAG
ensembl:lncRNA